rnacentral:rRNA from 1 species
GAUGAACGCUGGCGGCGUGCCUAAUACAUGCAAGUCGAGCGAACGGACGAGAAGCUUGCUUCUCUGAUGUUAGCGGCGGACGGGUGAGUAACACGUGGAUAACCUACCUAUAAGACUGGGAUAACUUCGGGAAACCGGAGCUAAUACCGGAUAAUAUUUUGAACCGCAUGGUUCAAAAGUAAAAGACGGUCUUGCUGUCACUUAUAGAUGGAUCCGCGCUGCAUUAGCUAGUUGGUAAGGUAACGGCUUACCAAGGCAACGAUGCAUAGCCGACCUGAGAGGGUGAUCGGCCACACUGGAACUGAGACACGGUCCAGACUCCUACGGGAGGCAGCAGUAGGGAAUCUUCCGCAAUGGGCGAAAGCCUGACGGAGCAACGCCGCGUGAGUGAUGAAGGUCUUCGGAUCGUAAAACUCUGUUAUUAGGGAAGAAUAUAUGUGUAAGUAACUGUGCACAUCUUGACGGUACCUAAUCAGAAAGCCACGGCUAACUACGUGCCAGCAGCCGCGGUAAUACGUAGGUGGCAAGCGUUAUCCGGAAUUAUUGGGCGUAAAGCGCGCGUAGGCGGUUUUUUAGUCUGAUGUGAAAGCCCACGGCUCCACCGUGGAGGGUCAUUGGAAACUGGAAAACUUGAGUGCAGAAGAGGAAAGUGGAAUUCCAUGUGUAGCGGUGAAAUGCGCAGAGAUAUGGAGGAACACCAGUGGCGAAGGCGACUUUCUGGUCUGUAACUGACGCUGAUGUGCGAAAGCGUGGGGAUCAAACAGGAUUAGAUACCCUGGUAGUCCACGCCGUAAACGAUGAGUGCUAAGUGUUAGGGGGUUUCCGCCCCUUAGUGCUGCAGCUAACGCAUUAAGCACUCCGCCUGGGGAGUACGACCGCAAGGUUGAAACUCAAAGGAAUUGACGGGGACCCGCACAAGCGGUGGAGCAUGUGGUUUAAUUCGAAGCAACGCGAAGAACCUUACCAAAUCUUGACAUCCUUUGACAACUCUAGAGAUAGAGCCUUCCCCUUCGGGGGACAAAGUGACAGGUGGUGCAUGGUUGUCGUCAGCUCGUGUCGUGAGAUGUUGGGUUAAGUCCCGCAACGAGCGCAACCCUUAAGCUUAGUUGCCAUCAUUAAGUUGGGCACUCUAAGUUGACUGCCGGUGACAAACCGGAGGAAGGUGGGGAUGACGUCAAAUCAUCAUGCCCCUUAUGAUUUGGGCUACACACGUGCUACAAUGGACAAUACAAAGGGCAGCGAAACCGCGAGGUCAAGCAAAUCCCAUAAAGUUGUUCUCAGUUCGGAUUGUAGUCUGCAACUCGACUACAUGAAGCUGGAAUCGCUAGUAAUCGUAGAUCAGCAUGCUACGGUGAAUACGUUCCCGGGUCU